AAAGGCUAUUGCUGUAGAUUUUACUAUUGCUGUUGGUAUUUUUUUAUUCUUGUGCUAUGCAUUAUUAUUUUUGACAACUAAAUAAUAUGGUUUUUUCAGUUGAUUUGAUAAAAAAAUACUCAAUUUGUGGCUCGCCAUUUAGAACCUAUUAUAGUCAAUUUAUGGAAGCUUCCUUUAACCAUUCAACCACGUUGGAUUUCAUUUUUGUGAUCGUCUGACGGUUAUGAUUCAUGAUCAAUGCAUGAAAGUUGAUGAAGUUGGUAGGAAAAACUUGGCAUUGAUUGUUGAGUUACGCAUCAACAGGCUCUUUGGUCUAACUAAUCAAUGUCAUCUGGACGCCCAACCAGACUGCCAUCAUUAUCAACAUCGUCAUCUUUCUUACCAUUAUCUUAAACAAGUCAACCUAAUUUAAUUCAUUGGAUGGUAAGGGAUCAUUAAUGGCCAGUAACAAUUGAAAAUAAUCAAGGAUAAAGAGGAAAAAAGAAACUUCAAUGUAGGACGAAAAGAGACUUUUUUUAUUCUUGCUUGAAUUUCAUGAAUAAGAAUAACCUUUUCUUCUUCUCUGCCUGGUUCGCCAUUUAAAAUCCUACUGACCCUUCCUUCAGAUACUCAAAUAACAUGAAAUUGUCAGUGAUAAUAAUAACAAACAGGUAGAAAAUGAAGAAGAAAAAAGCCAGAAAAAAAGACAAACGCGAUUCUGAUCAUUUUAUGGAUUGUCAUGUGAAAUUUCACCUGAAAGCAACAUUAUUCACAAGAUGUAGAUGUUAUUACGGUUUUAAUGAUGGCAAAAGUAAACUCUCAUAAUGUGUCCUGAUGAUUGUUGCUGCUAAAAUUGUGGUCCAACACCAAAGUCAUCAAACCAAAAGAAAAUCAUUAAAUGUUAAUCAUUAUCAUUUAACAAGCAAUUUAGCAGCCCAAGUAAAGCCCAACAACAACAUUAACAAUUUUGAAAACACCAAACAAGACUGAACCAAAGUGUACAAUCACAUUAAUGAAGAUGACUGGAAUGAUGGAUGUUAAAAAUACUGUAAACAUUAAUUCAAUUUACCCUUAAUCUGUCCAUAUUGAUCUACAUACAAUUGCUGAAAUUAAUCGCUUACAGUUGAACGGAUUUUUUGUAUAAGCAUUGAGAUGCGAAUGCUUAAUCACUAUUUUGACCAUUUUUCUGAAAAUGGAUCUUAAUUGCUCGUAAUAACAAUGAGCACUCAGUCAUGGAAAUAGUUGAUAAAUUGAUUCUUUAGUUUUUUACUCUGAUCUUUGUGCUGUUUGGACGCAAUUUCAAUGGACACAGCUUGGAAACAUUCCAGUUUGAGUUGGACGUUUACCCUACAAUGAAUGUCAUUUUAAUGACAAUUAUAUCGAUGCAAUUCUCAAUUGAAUCACCUGAAAUUUUACUAGAAAAUCAUCAGUUCUUGAGACUUUUAAGUCAACGUAAUGUUGAGUUAAUUGGUGUCACAAUCAACACUACAAUUGUCCUGACAUGGGAAAAUGAGGAUGAAACUGUCAACAAAAAUUAAUUGAAAGAAUCAGCAACAUUGUCAACUUUAUCAAGCCUUUUAUGUUCCAUUUGGCUUCUGAAUGUUCAUCUGGAUCUUCCUGAUGCCAUGCAAUUUUCUGUUUCCGAUCCAGCCUGUUAUGUUGGCCACGGAAGUUAUAACUGUUAUCGUAAUGAUUACUCUCUGGGAACCGAAACAUGUAACCUGCAAUAACUUUCACAAGUGCGUCCAAUUUUACUAUCAGUUUUGAACUAUUCCAACCUGAAGGAUCGCAAAGAUAUAAUCAAAACAACGAAAGAUGAUUUUACAAAACAUUUGGGUUACAUGAGAUACAAUAUCAAUGCAUAAAUACUUGAAUCAGCAAAACAAUAGAAUCGAUAAAUAUGGAACGGAACAAUGAAAUGAAAAAUCUUAAUGUUGAUUGGAUAUUGCAGGAGAUUGCUGAUUGACCAGAGAAUCAUUUUGAUAACCUUCAACAAUCCAACGUCCAGUCCUUGUCCUGAAUUUGGCUACAUAUUAAUUUGUUUAAUCAAUAGCAUUUCAUCUUUGAAAUUAACCCAACAACUGUUGAGAUGCCAAAAGCGACUUAAAUUGAGAAAUCAAAUAGAUGACAAUUUUAUUAGCUUUUUCAGUUACAUCUUCACAUCAUCUUUUCACAUCACCUUUUAUCUGUCUUUUUAUCAUCGCUUUUUUGCUCAUUUCAAGGUUUAGAUCAUGUUGACCUUUUCUUGAUUUAAACUUGAUCAUCUUUCCUUCAUGUCAUCAUUAUCAUCUACUCACUGAAUCAAUCAAAAAGUCAACCAAAAAAGCAAACAAUGUCAAUCAUCAAUCCCUUUUCACUUUGAUAAAGGUAAACAUUUAUACGUUUGACAAUCUAUCAAUCCAGUUAAUUAUGAUAUUGAAUUUUACAUGAAAAAAAGCCUUUCAAUUUCA